AGGCCUUAGCGAUUAGUUUUCUUUUCUUAUUUUGUGAGAAAUGUUAGAUUUUACGGAAAUGUAUAUUUAUUGAAUAAAAAUGUUUUUGUAACCUGGGAACCACGAGCCCUUGCCUGUUGAGUGAAACGAACCCGCGUGCUUUAAAAGGUCUUGGGCCUAUCCCAAGUGGCGUUGCCGGUAGAAUAGGGAACCAUUUCGCCACAAAACUAAAUAUGAUUUUCUCAACGUCUGCUUCAGGGCCAAACAUUUUAACAUAUACUAGUGGAAACAAUUAAAACCGAGUAGGGACUAAAACUAUAGAUGUUUAUUGGACCAUAACAAAUGAAUAAUAACCAAUGUAUACUUAGCAUGUGAUGGACCAGCAGUGAUCAUAAUACUGCAAUGGGUUUUUAGUCAUUGCUUCCUGAUUACCCCAACAAAGUUUUUUUGAGAACUACAACACCGCCUUGUGUAUUAGUCUUUGCAAUAAAAUUUAUGGUGAUGCACGCAUAGAGGAGACUAAUGGACAUAAAGCCAGUCUGUUGUAAUGGGGCUCGUCUCACCUGCUCGCUAAACCAAAUACAUGAAGAAAAUAAAAAUACAAAAAGAGAGUGGUGCAUUUUUAAUCUGGUACGCAUUCGGAAACAGGCUAGAAGUGGCAGAGUUAUCAAUGACAGGACUGUAUUCUACAAGUGAGCAAUCUCGUGUGCCGCAGCGCUUGGCGCUGUACAUUUCAUCCCUGUGGAAAGCAAUUUACUCCACCAGCUUUAUUCUGCAGAUGAGUGUUGGUGGGAUAUUCUCGUGUAACUGCAACUAUUUAUGCACUGAAUGUGAAGAUUUGUUGAUGGAUCUGAGGUACGGAGAGUUGAGUGCAGGCGCACACUGUAGAUGACACCGGUCUAAAUGAUGAUGUUUUGCUGUAUGCAUUUAGCUUAAAGGAAGUUUGCAUCUUUAGAAAAAAAAAGGCUUAUUAGAGCACCACACUAGACACGUGUUUAAUGACCAUGGCACAGAAAGUGCAUUCUCUUUUGUCAGUGGAUAAACAGGGAUGCACAGAGGUUUGUAGCUGGGUUGCAAAGCGUUAGUUUGUGGAUUUGAUUAUUUUUCUGGGUAGGUUACGCGCAGCCGUUUUUAUGGUUUGGGUUUGUUUGAUUUCUCAGGAUGAAACACCGAAAGAUACUGAAACUUGAAACACAAUAAAAACCCAAAUUGUAGUUACAAGUGACAAUCCACGGCAGAGGCAAAUAUAAACUAUGAGCAGAUGCAUGGUUUGUGUAAGAAUGUGCUUUCCAUCUUCGACUAUAUCUCUCACUCAAAUUGAGACAAACAACAUCUUUUAAAUUAUUUAGACCAUCUUUUAAACUAUGUAUUACCUCUUAAACACAUUUUUGCUAAAUACUUUCAGAGAAAAUGACAGACUGGCCAAUUUUUCUAUAGCCCAAACACGCCACGGGAAGAUGUGUUGUGCGUCGCAGCUGUUACCAUGCCACUUUCUUACCAUGCAAUUGCAAGCAGCACAGUGUUUACUUUGCAGGCACCAAUGCUUGCGUGAGGCAGACCGGUUUUAAACAUUUACAGCAUGUUUAUACAUAAUAAAUUCAAAUCUCUAUUCUUACCGCCUUCAUUAAAAUCUUUGCUUCAUGUGUCAAAUGCAAUAAAUAAAAGAGCAUGAGUCGGGUUGAUUUUCUAAUUUGUAUGUCAAGCGAGUAUUUGUUUGAAGAAAACACAUGAAUAAGUAAGUCAUCUCGUCAAUUUUAACACUAUCAAUAUUGUCUACAAUGGAUGUGUUCAGGCAUCCGAGUCGUACAGAGGUUAUGACAGGCUCCAUCACUGCAAAAGUUAGAAGGACUCGUGAAGAAACUGAGAAUUACAAAGAAAAACUCCACACUAUAUUAUGGUAUCCCUCAGCUGUCAUGGAAACCGGUCGAUGUCGAAUGAAUCGCGGAUCACUGACUUCAUGUUCACUCAGCUGGGCUUUCCCUGCGGAGAACAGCUUCAGCUAGACAGAUGCUUCCAGGUGGAAGUGGACCGGAGGGCAGUGCAGUACUUCUGGAGGGCUGCCACCAAGAGCUCCGGCUAAAUCCACCCUACGCCCACUGCACGGCCGUGGAAGAGCCUCUCCCCCCAACCAUCAAUGGAGGUAAUGUGCAUGCGUUGGGACAACUUAAUGGCAAUAGAAUAACUAUUAUUCUCUAAUUCUAAAAUCGGCCGCUUAUCCACUAUCACCUUAGAAAUAUUCUCUUUUAUUUAUGACACUUGAGGGAAUUAUCUGGCUCAUCAGCUGGUUUGUAACGUUGUCUGUCCACCAUUUGGUGCAAGUAGCGUUCAAUGGGUUAAUCUGAACUGCCUGUUGGGGCAAAGCAUUGUGGCAGUGAGAGUGAACUCCAACAGUAAAUAGAUUCAGGGUAUGAAACAUAAAAUGUCGAGCUCAAGAAGAUGUUCAUGGAGCUGCAGGCAACCACACAUUUGAGUUUCAUUAACAAAAUUCUCACUACAUGUGCAUGUGGUGCCAUAUUGAUCAGUGCAGCUUUUUCUGCCUUAAACAGAUGGAAGGAAAUACAAUCCACAGGUCUGUAAAACUCAAAGUCGUAGUGGGAGGGAUUAGGCUGGCUAAUUACAGCAGUCUAAUUAACUAACUUUGUGAAAUACAGGAAUACGGCAUUUUCAUUUGCUUAAUUAACUUUGGAUGAAAAGAGCGUCAGUCUCAGCGCCGUCCUUCAUUAUUGAGCACUUGACAAUUGUUUACGGUUUCAAAUCUGCCUUCCAUUGUUUCCCUCCACCGGAGACAGAAUCUAAAUGUGCUAUUCAAUACCAAACUUAAUAAAAAUAUGUGGUUCUAAGUAAACAAUCCAAGCGCUUUUUUUUUCAGCAUCACAGAUUUCUAAAUAAAGUGGAGAUUAAGUGAGUUAUUAAGUUGCUGCUGGAGCGUAACAAAGUCCUCACAAUGAUGACAUCCCCGUCAUGGAUGGUGAUGGCAGUCAGAAUUUGUAUUCUGUCGCCUCUGUCGCUUCCCGUUAUGUGAAAUCUCUUCUUGUCUCUUUCCGUUCUCCGACUGACAGGGACGAGCUCAGAAUACAGACCGAGCCUCCGUUUUCCUCAAUGAUGGACGUAAAUAGGCUGGUAUUAACACGCUCCCUAACUCUUCCUCACUUAGGGGAAAAAUCCUUGUCCUGUGCUCAACUUUUGACGUAACUGCCUCGGGACGGACAGUUUGCAAAGCGGCGGAGUGACUGCCGUUUGGCAACUGAUGUGCGGUUGUUCUGUGAGGCGGCCACUUUAUUUCUGCCCUUUUGUCAACUUUCUUUCUCUUCCCCGCUCCGCAGAGGUUCAGCCCAUACUUCACACCUCCAUGCCGUCUCACACACCUUCGCCUUAAAAAAAAGAAUAAACAGUUGCAGCCUGGAUCAAAUAAGGCCGAGUGGCUGCUUGUGGGGAAAGGGGGCGCCUCUGUUUUAAGGUCGAAGGUGGCUGCUCCGAGCGGAACAGGACACACUGCGGGCGCAUGUUUCCUUGAACGUGGCCGUAUCGCAGUCAAGCGGGUCAGGAGUGUGCUGAAAGCACUUUUGCCAAUUCAGCGGCCACAAGAGGCCCACCCGGGCGCAGGGUAGGACCAAAAGAAAAGUCCCGAGCAAGUCAAACCUUUAAGUGGAGAAGACGUGUAGGAUAAUUGACGAAAAGGACACUUGUGAUGUGCAUGUAGGCACCUUGACUUCUGUGGUUAUUGAAACUCGGUUUCACAAUAAGUAGCCAGCAGGUCUGCUGUGCAUAAUUGUGACUCAACAGUGUGCAGCAUCACAGUGCAGACUGUCAUGACACACAGAGCUUCGUUUUGCAGCUCACUGCUUAAUGAUGAGAAAACACGAGUUACAUUGUAUACAAACGUUGAUGUGCAAUUGCAAAUUGCAUAACUGGGAUCUUGAAUGAGUUUCCCACAAAAAGACAAAGUAGACAGGAACAUUACGGAAGUCUCAGGUUCUCAUUUGGCAUCAUUCCUGCAUUAGCAGUUCCCAUAAGUUAUCUUUGUGCGAGCGUACAUCAGCCGCCCUCCUUCUCAAUUGGUUUGGUGGUGAAUCUAAAACUGCUCCGUUUCAGGUUAAACCUCAUGCUACAUGACGGUAGCUCUGCUGACUCAUAAAUAUUAUACUGAGGCUGUGCUGACAUCAGCUGAAUAUGAAUCUAUCAGAGCACCCAUUUGUUGUUUGGUUCCACUGGAGCUCCAUUCAGUUGUCUAAAUGACCCUUCAUUUAUUUUAGUGCCCUGUUUCAAAAUGGGGGAGGCAGCCGAGCACUCUGGGUGAUACUCUGGAUGAUACUCCGGAUGCGGAGCCAUCAUGGCUCAGCUGACGGAUGGAGCUGAUGCCUUUUCUCCUGCUCCGCUUCUGUUGCUUUUUCCUCCACUCUGCCGCUAAUGGACGAGACGCUCUUGUUCUCUGGUUGCAAAUGUAGCUCUUAGCUGCUGCUUUUAAAAUAGAUUAGGUGGUUUUCUCUUUCCGUUUCGUAGCUUCUUAUAUAUCUUAUCUUGGUGGUAUGUUCCAAUAUAUCCAUAACUCAUGGCAUUUUAGCCCUUUGGGUUUUGUUCAGUGGUGAAAUACGUACGAUAUUGUUUGGGAAGAAUGUUGUUUUUUCAUUCAGUCGAAUCAAUUGUCAUUAGUAGCAUUAAAGUAUUUUCACAAUCUUGAAA